GUUAAUGUUGCCAUCCCGCACUCAGACCAGUGAAAUAUCUGUGCCACACAACAACAUUAUUAUGUACCCUUUAUAUUGAGAGAGAACAACUAGUGUAAUUUGAGCAUUUUUAAAUGGUCAGAUCCAAGGGUGCUGGAACGGGGAGGGUCAGGGGGCCAUGGCCCCAUCACUUUUUACCAGCCUUAAGGGUGAGCGAUGGGGGAAAGAGGCAGAGAGGAGCAAGUGGAGGCAGAGCCUCGGAGGAAGGGGCUGAGCGAGGGCAGGUCCAUGGUUCAGACGUCAGUGGCCCCUCCACUUCUAGGGAGCUUCCGGUGCUCCUGGUCAGAUCCCAACCCCUCUAAGCCUAUCAGAAAUUGGAGACUGUGUCCUUCUACAUCUCCAGCAAGGUGGGAUGUUUGCAAUGGAAUCAAAAGCCAUGUUGAAACUUCCCUGUUUCCAGGCAUCGUUACAUACCUGAAACUCAGCCCAGGUCUAGCAAAAGGUUCUCAGAGAUUCUUAAUUUGAGCCCAGUUUCCAGUGGACCCUGGAGCUAAUCAAUGGUCUCACAUCAAAGCCAGGGGGAGAUCAUGGUUUUAGUGCAAAACCAGGUGAAACAUGGCUCUGUCCAGAGGUGAUAUGCGGGGGUCACGUGCUCUGCCCCCACCCAGAUUUGCUGCUUGGCUUGUACUGAGCAUGCUCCCAUGGACUGAGCAUGCUCCGUAACAUCUGCUGAAGCAUCUGCCCUCCCACUGCGCCCUCCCCCCCCGUUGUCAGGUAUGGGUUAUCCCUGGCUCUGUCAAAUGUGUUCUCUUGGUUCUUGUGGGGUCAACUCAAAGUGACACGGGAAAGGGUACAAACCCAGGAGCGCAAAACCACCACCAGCUUUGGCACAAGCCCCAGCCAACCCAGCACUGUUGAAUCUUAUGCAUUUCUCCUGCCUGCUCUCAGAUUCACCACUGACCUGGAUGUAAUGCUGAGGCAGCAAUCCCUGGACCGGUUCCCCUCUUCUGCCUCCUCACAAUGGUGCUUUACAGGGAAACAUGUCUUAAGCCACACC